rnacentral:rRNA from 1 species
UACGUAGGGUGCAAGCGUUAAUCGGAAUUACUGGGCGUAAAGCGUGCGCAGGCGGUUUUGUAAGUCAGUAGUGAAAGCGUGUGGCUCAACCACAUAUCCAUUACUGAAACUACAAAGCUAGAGGACGAGAGAGGUUAUUGGAAUUCCUAGUGUAGGAGUGAAAUCCGUAGAUAUUAGGAGGAACACCGAUGGCGUAGGCAGAUAACUGGCUCGUUCCUGACACUGAGGCACGAAAGCGUGGGUAGCAAACGGG